rnacentral:rRNA from 1 species
GCUUCCUACGGGAGGCAGCAGUGGGGAAUAUUGGACAAUGGGCGCAAGCCUGAUCCAGCCAUGCCGCGUGUGUGAAGAAGGCCUUCGGGUUGUAAAGCACUUUUGUUCGGGAAGAAAAGCUACCGGUUAAUACCCGGGAGUCAUGACGGUACCGAAAGAAUAAGCACCGGCUAACUUCGUGCCAGCAGCCGCGGUAAUACGAAGGGUGCAAGCGUUACUCGGAAUUACUGGGCGUAAAGCGUGCGUAGGUGGUGCGUUAAGUCUGUCGUGAAAGCCCCGGGCUCAACCUGGGAAUGGCGAUGGAUACUGGCGCGCUAGAGUGCGGUAGAGGAGAGUGGAAUUCCCGGUGUAGCAGUGAAAUGCGUAGAGAUCGGGAGGAACAUCAGUUGCGAAGGCGGCUCUCUGGACCAACACUGACACUGAGGCACGAAAGCGUGGGGAGCAAACAGGAUUAGAUACCCUGGUAGUCCACGCCCUAAACGAUGCGAACUGGACGUUGGGAGCAACUAGGCUCUCAGUGUCGAAGCUAACGCGUUAAGUUCGCCGCCUGGGGAGUACGGUCGCAAGACUGAAACUC